UUCUGAAACUCGUUGACGUUGCACAUGAGCACAUG
rnacentral:sRNA from 1 species